GAUCCUGGCCAGGACGAACGCUGGCGGCGUGCUUAACACAUGCAAGUCGAACGAGAAUCUGUGGAAAGAGGAUUCGUCCAAUUGAAGCAGAGGACAGUGGCGGACGGGUGAGUAACGCGUGAGGAACCUGCCUUUCAGAGGGGGACAACAGUUGGAAACGACUGCUAAUACCGCAUAACACAUAGGUGUCGCAUGGCACUUAUGUCAAAGAUUUAUCGCUGAAAGAUGGCCUCGCG
rnacentral:rRNA from 1 species